AAGGCUUAUUGGGAUGGGGUAGGGAGGAAUACGGGAGGGGAGGGUGGCAAGUGGGAAAGAAAACUAACUGUAAUUUUUCCAUAUUUAAAAGGUGUGUCCUUCCCCUCCACACUUCCCAGGACAGAAUGCACUUCAGGGGGGCAGGAGGAGUGAUCACAAGAAUUCAGCCAGUUUUGCUCAACUUUAGUAGUAAGUUAAAAGUUUAAGAACUCUCAAAAAUAGACUAGAUAUUGGGCCUACAAAAGUAAUUCAUCUGUAUGCAAAGCUUACCAAGAAUUAUUCCUUUUGUAAAAUGUAAAGGAUGGACUGAUAUUACUAGUAAGUUAUUUUUACCUACAAAAAACAGACUACAGUAAUAAAUUCACCAAUUUACAUCUAACACAAUUUUCUGGAUGUACAUUAUUGUACGUGAGCUAUAUAUUACACAUGAACAUUGUACGGGAAGUAUACAUGAUACAUACUUACUGAUAUUGUCUCAACAUUGGCCGAUAGGUUGGGCUUUUGAAAAAGGGAAAUGUACUUUCUAUUUCACAUUCAGGGUAGAUCCAAUAGAGAAGGUUAGCUCUGUUUACUCGAGGAAGCAGAGAAAGUUUGUGCGAGGUAGUUCAAUAAUAAACUAGUUUCACUUUUUAGCAGUGGGAGUGGAAAUGUGUGAAGUUAACUUUAGUCAAAGAAAAUUUCUGUAACGCAGAGAAUUAUAAGAUGGGGGGGAAGCCAAUAAAAUGCCUUACUGAGACUCAUAAAAGAGCACUUAAAUAAGAGCAAUUAAGUGAGCUGGAAAGUUUGAAAAGAGUUACAAAUACAACAUAUUCCUCUGUUCAGAACCUUUCAAGCCUUAUUGAAGAAUGCAGAUGACCUCUAACUCAUCUCCAUUCUCCAGUCUUCCAACUUACUAUAACUAUGCAGGGAAAAGUAGAUCAACGGAAAUAUUAACGGGAACAUACAAAAUGCUAACACAAUAAAAGAAACCGCUAUAAAGCAGGUUAGAAAAAUACUCAGAUAUUGGCAGCCCAUCCUGGACUACUUCAGUGACUCAAGUCAUGAAAACCAGACAAACUGGAAUGUUCUCUUACCGUCAAUUCAGAACAUUUGGGAGGAUCUGAAAUAUGGUGUGUAAGAGACUGCUCAUGUGUAUUGCUAGUAUUUUUGAUGGUUUACAGCAGUGUAUCUAAGUUUGAGAUGUGUGCAUUGUAUGUUUAGUGUGGGACUAGCAGAGUCAUGUGUAGAUUAUAGACUGGCCUGUCAGGUGCUUAGAUCUUGCAGUCUAACUUGGAAUGUGUUCAUCUGGGGGCCAAUGCUGCUAUUACAAAUCUACACAUCUAACUUCAUUGUUCUACUUACUUAUGUAGUAUACCAGUAGAGGGCACUGUCACCAUAACCUGUAAAAUCAAGGCUUGCUCUAUCCUAAACAAAUUCCUUGGCAUUUCAUAAAUAAUUUGUACAGCUAUUCUUUUGUUUUGUGAGGAUUUAUACCAUGAAAGCUGCUAUCCCGUAUACAGCAACUCUCUUCUAAUUUAGAUCCCCAAGCUGAAAAAGUUACCCUGGGUCAAAAAAGUGGGCUAUUUACCCAAAUUAGUUAAUUGGUGGAGACUGGGCCUAACCAAGCAUAUAGGGUUAUUGAACCAAUCAGUAUUGCUGUGUGAUUUAAAUGGACUUCAGCUGACUUAAACACACAGAAGUUUAUAUAAGAUGAGAAAGAUAAAGACAGUCUGACUUCUUGUGUUGCAUUGAGUGAAGUCCUCAACACACAAAACGGGUAGGAGCAAAGGCAAUACAAACUUCUCCCACCAGUGUGUUUAAUACUAACCUGCAAGGACCCACUUCUAGGAUUUGUCUGUUCAGUCCUGGGACUUGUUGCAACUAGCCAGAAAGUGAGAUAAUUCUACAGUUCUUAGUGGACAGCAUCCACUUCAGUUUACAUAGGACAUUAGAUGUGGGUCACUUUCAUUCGCUACGGUACAUCCACACCACCUGCCGUAUCAGCGAGUAGCAAUUGAUCCAUCAGGGGUCGAUUUAUCGCGUCUUG